rnacentral:rRNA from 1 species
ACGACCAUAGGGUGUGGAAAACAGGGCUUCCCGUCCGCUCAGCCGUACUUAAGCCACACGCCGGCCGGUUAGUAGUUGGGUGGGUGACCACCAGCGAAUCCCGUCUGUUGUAUGUU